rnacentral:lncRNA from 1 species
AGACGAACCCUCAACUUCUGCAAAUCCAAAGGUGCCCAUGGGUCCUCCACCUCCCAAAUCCCAACCCACCGUCCAACCAAAUUCAAGCCCUACCCCUUUCUUCGAACCCUGUACUGAAGUCUCCGAACCCAGUACUGAAGUCUCCGAACCCCGUACCGAAGUCUCCGAACCCUGUACUGAAGUCUCCGAACCCAGUACUGAAGCCUCCGAACCCAGUACUGAAGCCUCCGAACCCAGAACUGAAGCCUCCGAACCCAGUACUGAAGCCUCCGAAAGCUCUGCAAUGCAGCCCAGUAAUAAUUCUACUCACCACCAGAAGACUCAGAGUGCUGCAGUUCCUUAUACGAUUCCUUCGUGGAGCG